rnacentral:rRNA from 1 species
UACAGAGGUCUCAAGCGUUGUUCGGAUUCAUUGGGCGUAAAGGGUGCGUAGGCGGUCUGUUGCGUCGGCUGUGAAAACCCGGGGCUCAACUCCGGGCCUGCAGCCGAUACGGGCAGACUAGAGUUCGGCAGGGGAGACUGGAAUUCCUGGUGUAGCGGUGAAAUGCGCAGAUAUCAGGAGGAACACCGGUGGCGAAGGCGGGUCUCUGGGCCGAUACUGACGCUGAGGAGCGAAAGCGUGGGGAGCGAACAGG